rnacentral:rRNA from 1 species
UACGUAGGGGGCAAGCGUUAUCCGGAUUUACUGGGUGUAAAGGGAGCGCAGGCGGUAUGGCAAGUCAGAUGUGAAAACCCAGGGCUCAACCCCGGGACUGCAUUUGGAACUGUGUGGCUGGAGUGUCGGAGAGGCAGGCGGAAUUCCUAGUGUAGCGGUGAAAUGCGUAGAUAUUAGGAGGAACACCAGUGGCGAAGGCGGCCUGCUGGACGAUGACUGACGUUGAGGCUCGAAAGCGUGGGGAGCAAACAGG